UAAAAUAAACAUAAUCUUGAG
rnacentral:piRNA from 1 species